AUGGAGCCAAAAAAAAUCCAGCAAUAUAGACCUAUUUGUCUACUGCGAUGUCCUUACAAGCUUAUCACCAAAGUCUUGGACAAUAGAGCAUCCAUGUUUGCAGAUAUCCUCAUCAGCAAACAUCAAAAUGCCUUCAUAAAACACAGGAACAUUAUGGAUGGUAUCUUGACCCUUCAUGAAAUUCUUCACCACACACAAAGGAAAAAGAAAAUUUGUGUGGUGUUGAAACUCGAUUUCGAAAAAGCAUAUGAUAAGAUUAAUUGGGAUUUCCUUCUUGAGUGCCACAGCAAUAGGGGUUUUGGCCCGGUGUGGUGUUGGAUCCAGAAUAUCCUUAAGAAUGGGACCAUUAACAUCAAAUUGAAUAAUGAAAAAGGUCCUUAUUUCCAAAGCUACAAAGGAGUGCGACAAGGGGACCCACACUCGCCUUUUUUAUUCAAUAUGGCU
rnacentral:rRNA from 1 species